CAGAGGGUGCAAACGUUGUUCGGAAUUACUGGGCGUAAAGCGCGUGCAGGCGGCCUUGCAAGUCGGACGUGAAAUCCCACGGCUCAACCGUGGAAGUGCAUUCGAAACUGCGAGACUGGAGUCCUGGAGACGGAAAGUGGAAUACUCGGUGUAGAGGUGAAAUUCGUAGAUAUCGAGUGGAACACCGGUGGCGAAGGCGGCUUUCUGGACAGGUACUGACGCUGAGACGCGAAAGCGUGGGGAGCAAACAGGAUUAGAUACCCUGGUAGUCCACGCCGUAAACGAUGAGUGCUAGGUGUCACGGGCUUUAGACCCUCGUGGUGCCGAAGCUAACGCGUUAAGCACUCCGCCUGGGGAGUACGGCCGCAAGGCUA
rnacentral:rRNA from 1 species